rnacentral:lncRNA from 1 species
AAGACACUAUGCAUUUUGUCCUCAGUUCUCUGGAAGAGAUCUCAAAGAAGCAAUUAAUAUCAAACUGAAUGACUGACCAACCAUCUGCCAAUUCCAGCACAUUCAAUACAACUGAUGCUUUAUUCAAAUACAGAAUACAGACUCUGCCACCAGAAGAACUGAUUCAGAAAAUGUGCAGCAGCUGAUACGAGGUCUCUGCACUUGAGAACCACCAACCUGCAGAGCUGCCUGGGGGAGUUGGGAGGAAGAAUCUCAUUUCUCUGCCUGUACCACUGCUGGGAUUAAAGGUAUUGACCGUCACCCUUCUGUAAAAGCCUUCUGUGCACAUAAAAAGAGAGGAAAAAGGUACCAGAAAUGAUGCCUUAACAAAGGUGCUUUUUAAGUGAAAGCAAUUUGGCAUCAAUGUGAAUAGUAGUAAAUUAUGGCAUAACACCCUGCAAGAAUGUUAUAGUUAGCAGAAAGGUAUUUAUACAUGGAUUUUUUUAAAGCCUAGG